rnacentral:tRNA from 1 species
GGUGAGGUGUCCGAGUGGUUGAAGGAGCAUGCUUGGAAAGCAUGUAUACACAAAAGUGUAUCAAGGGUUCAAAUCCCUUUCUCACCG